UACGUAGGGUGCAAGCGUUACUCGGAAUUACUGGGCGUAAAGCGUUCGUAGGCGGUUUGUUAAGUCUGAUGUGAAAGCCCUGGGCUCAACCUGGGAAUGGCAUUGGAUACUGGCGGUCUAGAGUGCGGUAGAGGGGUGUGGAAUUCCCGGUGUAGCAGUGAAAUGCGUAGAUAUCGGGAGGAACAUCUGUGGCGAAGGCGACACCCUGGACCAGCACUGACACUGAGGCACGAAAGCGUGGGGAGCAAACAGG
rnacentral:rRNA from 1 species